CCAGAAUUCCUUAUUGACCUAUGUAGCUGAGGUGCGAGUAUUGCAGGAGCAAAGGCCUCCGGUUUCUUGGCUCCCCUCUCUCCAGGUUGGAAUGGAAGGAGCCGGCAUACCACGUGACCAAGUUUGGCAAGUCACGUGAUGAGGCACGGGCCGUAGCUACGCCUCGGGAGUCUAGCUGUGGCGGAGCUCCUGGUCACCUUGGAGGUGGGCUCUUAGGAGCCGAGAGCCCUCUCUUACCAUGUCUGGCUGUCGGCGACCCAGAUGCCAGGUGAUGGUCAUCUGAAGACAGGCCUGUCGGACGUCAGGCCUGGAGCUAGACUGAGCUCGGUUUCAAUCUAUACUUCACUACUCACUUUGAUACUCAUCCAAGGUAAUGGACCCUCUAUAUGUUAAUCUGUCACAUCUCCCAUCUAGCACCUCAUCUGUCAAUAGAGAGUGAUAAUAGGGUCUCUUAUCUCAGAAGGCUGUGGUGAUGCUUAUGUGAGUGAUGUAUGAAGAGUGUUUAGUACACACAGAAGCUGUUAUCAUUUAUCUUUAUUAUUUCCACCUUGAGUGUAGGUGUCCUUUAAGAAUCAGCCCCUUUUGAUUUUCUUUUAUGCUUCUGUCAUUUACAUCCUCAUAGCUUAAAUUAGCCCCUGUAUUCAUUAUCAAAGCCAUACCUCCAUCCUCUGGUUGCUUCACUGUUUGGUUUUUGUCAGUUAGAGUUAGUCACAAUUAGAGGAGCCAUACUGAGCUACCUGCUUAAGCAGCAGAGGGGCUCUUGUCAAAUCUGCGUCCUCCCCCAAUUGGGCUGUUAGGCCCCCUCUAUUUUUAAUAGCUUUUUUAAAAAUAGCUGUUCCUUAGCUAUUAAAAAAGGCCAUCUGAUCCUCACAUGCAUUUCUUUUUAUCUCAGACUAUUUUGUCUUCAUUUUUACCCAGUUUAUAUGCAGGUUUCAUGCAGUGUUGCUCUUUAUCUGAACUGGUGAUGCUGGACACAGGGAACAACCCAGGUAAUACCUCUGGUGUCAAGAUGUCAAAGCAGCUCAAAUUGGUCUGACAUUUCUCAGAAAGUUCAUGAAAGAUGCUGAGUGUCAUAGAAAGCCCCAAGUCUGCAUGAGGAAAGAAGGUACCUGAGGACAAACAACUAGUAAUAGUUAUAAUAAUUGCAAGAACUAAUUUUUUCGUAGCUUUUAGCCUGUGUCACACUGUUGUGUUAUGUUGUUUUAUCCUCAUCAACCCCACGAUGGAGCUCCUGUCAUCCCCAUUUAGAGAUGAGGACACUGAGCAUGCAUCUGGUAAGUACUGAGGCCAGGAUUGAGGAUUCUGACCCCGCCAAUCUGAAUCUGGAGCCUGAACACGUAGCCUCGGUGCCAUUUGUAGGCUCAGCCUUCCUGUGUGUCCUGAUAACAACUCAGCUGUUUGCCAGGGGAUGAAGUUGUUAUGGUGAGUGGAGAUAGAGGGCUGAACUAGUAAAGUGUGAGUAGAGGCUUAACCUGUUCAAAGUGAGCAGAAGAUGGUGAUGCAGGAGCACCGUGAGAUCAGUAAAAUCCAAGAUUCUGUUAAUCACACUGGUCUCCAUCUUGCCUGUGUUACCCUGGACUCAAAAGGCCACAGCUACUAUUGGCCAGGCUUGGGGGGUUGGAGUAGAGAUCCCCAGUGGAAACACAGUUCAGCUGUUCUCCUUACCAGCUACUCACUUGCGUAUCUUGUCAGCAUUUCAAACUCCACGUACUUAAACCUAAGUACCUUAUCUUUGCUUCCAAACUGGCUUCUUCUGACUUUGCUGUUUCUGACAAUUGCUCUGGUUCAUUAGCUUGUAUCAGUUUUGUCCCUUUUCUCCCAUGUUCCCUAUAUCUAAGGUUUCAUCAGGAUUCUGAGAACAUUUUUAAGCAAGCACAAGCCAUGUUGCUGCCUUCUGCCUAGCAAUAGAUUCUGAACUCACUUUUUAAUAAAAUUACGGUAUUUCUAGGUUGGUACAACCCACCCACCCCGUAGGGCUCUUAGGUGUUGCAGAACCUUAGACCUCGGACCUUUCCCUCUCCAGUCUUAUACUCAGGCAUGCUGCAGCUACUGUUUCCUCCCCUCACCAAGUCUUUGAUUGUUUUCCUUUUCAUUCCCGUCACCACCUUGCCAAUCCAUGUCCUUCUCCACCUCUCUCCUGGGCAGGUAUAGGUAGCCUGCUGGGGUGCUCUCCUUGCCUACUUAGCAGACUCCUCAGUUAGGGUAGAACAUUCUCCAUCAAUACUGUAGGGUUUAUGGGCUAUCUCUUGUAAUUUCAAAUUCUAGUUCCAGACAUUGUUCUCUGGUUGGUUCUUAUGCGCAUCACUUGUCUGCCUGGCUCAAUAGUAAGUCCCCUAAGGCAAGUAUGGGGCUUUUGUUUUACUAACCAUAUUCCACCUAUAUACUCCAGGCCCAUUGCUAUAUUGUCAGAUCUCUGAGAAUUUCAGAGGGCUACCUUAAUAAUAUGUCCUGAAGAAAUGUUAAGUGACUCAACUUAAUUAAAAUGUCUCAAGAUAUUGA